ACCUGACUGCUAUCGGAUUGAUACUAAGCCAUGCGAGUCAUUGUAGCAAUACAAGGCAUACGGCUCAGUAACGCGUAGUCAACCUAACCUUUGGACGGGAAUAACCUCGGGAAACUGAGAAUAAUGCCCGAUAGAACAUUAUACCUGGAAUGGUUUAUGUUCCAAAUGAUUUAUCGCCAUAGGAUGGGACUGCGGCCUAUCAGUUUGUUGGUGAGGUAAUGGCCCACCAAGACUAUUACAGGUACGGACUCUGAGAGGAGUAGCCCGGAGAUGGGUACUGAGACACGGACCCAGGCCCUAUGGGGCGCAGCAGGCGAGAAAACUUCGCAAUGUGCGAAAGCACGACAAGGUUAGUCCGAGUGAUUUCUGCUAAAGAGAUCUUUUGCUAGUUAUAAAACCACUAGUGAAUAAGGGGUGGGCAAGUUCUGGUGUCAGCCGCCGCGGUAAAACCAGCACCUCAAGUGGUCAGGAUGAUUAUUGGGCCUAAAGCAUCCGUAGCCGGCUCUGUAAGUUUUCGGUUAAAUCUAUGCGCUCAACGUAUGGGCUGCCGAAAAUACUGUAGAGAUAGGGAGUGGGAGAGGUAGACGGUACUCGGUAGGAAGGGGUAAAAUCCUUUGAUCUAUCGAUGACCACCUGUGGCGAAGGCGGUCUACCAGAACACGCUCGACGGUGAGGGAUGAAAGCUGGGGGAGCAAACCGGAUUAGAUACCCGGGUAGUCCCAGCUGUAAACGAUGCAGACUCGAUGAUGCAUUGGCAUAUAGCCAGUGCAGUGUCGCAGGGAAGCCGUUAAGUCUGCCGCCUGGGAAGUACGUACGCAAGUAUGAAACUUAAAGGAAUUGGCGGGGGAGCACCACAAGGGGUGAAGCCUGCGGUUC
rnacentral:rRNA from 1 species